rnacentral:ncRNA from 1 species
GUUUCAGGGCGGGGUGAAAUUCCCCACCGGCGGUAAAGUCCGCGAGCCCUUUUGGGGUUGACCCGGUGAAACUCCGGGACCGACGGUAUAGUCCGGAUGAAAGAAA